rnacentral:rRNA from 1 species
UACGUAGGGUCCGAGCGUUGUCCGGAAUUAUUGGGCGUAAAGGGCUCGUAGGCGGUCUGUCGCGUCGGUAGUGAAAACUUACAGCUUAACUGUGAGCGUGCUUCCGAUACGGGCAGACUGGAGGUAUGCAGGGGAGAACGGAAUUCCUGGUGUAGCGGUGAAAUGUGCAGACAUCAGGAGGAACACCGGUGGCGAAGGCGGUUCUCUGGGCAUGUCCUGACGCUGAGGAGCGAAAGUGUGGGGAGCGAACAGG